rnacentral:rRNA from 1 species
CCUACGGGUGGCUGCAGUAGGGAAUAUUGGUCAAUGGACGCAAGUCUGAACCAGCCAUGCCGCGUGCAGGAUGACGGUCCUAUGGAUUGUAAACUGCUUUUUUACGGGAAGAAACCCCUGGAUGCGUCCGGGGCUGACGGUACCGUACGAAUAAGGAUCGGCUAACUUCGUGCCAGCAGCCGCGGUAAGACGAAGGAUCCAAGCGUUGUCCGGAUUUACUGGGUUUAAAGGGUGCGUAGGCGGAAAUUUAAGUCAGUGGUGAAAGCCUCCCGCUU